UACGUAGGGGGCUAGCGCUGUCCGGAUUUAUUGGGCGUAAAGAGCGUGUAGGCGGCCAGGUAGGUCCGUUGUGAAAACUGGAGGCUCAACUUCCAGACGUCGACGGAAACCGUGUGGCUAGAGUCCGGAAGAGGAGAGUGGAAUUCCUGGUGUAGCGGUGAAAUGCGCAGAUAUCAGGAAGAACACCAAUGGCGAAGGCAGCUCUCUGGGACGGUACUGACGCUGAGACGCGAAAGCGUGGGGAGCGAACAGG
rnacentral:rRNA from 1 species